CUGAUCAGAAGGUGACUAUCGGUGCAGUUUUGUAUGGUGGUUGAACGAUGAAAUUGUUAGCCUCAGCUGAUGAAUGGAACGGCGAGGGUGUGUGUACGUGCAGACACUCCGAUGCCCAAGUAAGUAUGAGAUCAGAAUGAGGGAUUUAGAGAGAGAGAGAGAGAGAGAGAGAGAGAGUAGAUUAUAACCUUGAGGACUACUCAGAGUCUCCUUUAUACAGAGAUGGGGUCGGGAGAGCCGUUGUAAGACACACGUG
rnacentral:lncRNA from 1 species